GAUGAACGCUGGCGGCAGGCUUAAUACAUGCAAGUCGAGGGGCAGCACGGUUAGCAAUAACUGGUGGCGACCGGCGCACGGGUGCGUAACACGUAUACAAUCUACCUUAAACAGGGGGAUAGCCUUUCGAAAGAGAGAUUAAUACCCCGUAAUAAAUUGAACGGCAUCGUUUGAUUUUGAAAGCUCCGGCGGUUUGAGAUGAGUAUGCGUCUGAUUAGCUAGUUGGUGAGGUAACGGCUCACCAAGGCGACGAUCAGUAGGGGAUCUGAGAGGACUAACCCCCACACUGGUACUGAGACACGGCCCAGACUCCUACGGGAGGCAGCAGUGGGGAAUAUUGGUCAAUGGAGGCAACUCUGAACCAGCCAUGCCGCGUGCAGGAUGACGGCCCUAUGGGUUGUAAACUGCUUUUAUACAAGAGAAAACCCUGGUACGUGUACCAGGUUGAUAGUAUUGUAAGAAUAAGCAUCGGCUAACUUCGUGCCAGCAGCCGCGGUAAU
rnacentral:rRNA from 1 species